rnacentral:rRNA from 1 species
UGGGGAAUAUUGCACAAUGGGCGCAAGCCUGAUGCAGCAACGCCGCGUGAACGAUGAAGGUCUUCGGAUCGUAAAGCUCUGUUGCAGGGGAAGAUAAUGACGGUACCCUGUGAGGAAGCCCCGGCUAACUACGUGCCAGCAGCCGCGGUAAUACGUAGGGGGCUAGCGUUAUCCGGAUUUACUGGGCGUAAAGGGUGCGUAGGUGGUCUUUCAAGUCGGUGGUUAAAGGCUACGGCUCAACCGUAGUUAGCCUCCGAAACUGGAAGACUUGAGUGCAGGAGAGGAGAGUGGAAUUCCCAGUGUAGCGGUGAAAUGCGUAGAUAUUGGGAGGAACACCAGUAGCGAAGGCGGCUUUCUGGACUGCGACUGACACUGAGGCAUGAAAGCGUGGGUAGCAAACAGG